rnacentral:rRNA from 1 species
GUGAGGAAUAUUGGUCAAUGGGCGAGAGCCUGAACCAGCCAAAUCGCGUGAAGGAUGAAGGUAUUAUGUAUUGUAAACUUCUUUUAUCGGGGAAUAAAGUGCGGGACGUGUCCCGUUUUGUAUGUACCCGAAGAAUAAGGAUCGGCUAACUCCGUGCCAGCAGCCGCGGUAAUACGGAGGAUCCAAGCGUUAUCCGGAUUUAUUGGUUUUAAAGGGUGCGUAGGCGGACUGUCAAGUCAGCGGUGAAAGUCCAUGGCUCAACCAUGGAAUUGCCGUUGAAACUGUCGGUCUUGAGUGUAGAUGAGGUAGGCGGAAUUCGUAGUGUAGCGGUGAAAUGCUUAGAUAUUACGAAGAACUCCAAUUGCGUAGGCAGCUUACCAGGCUACAACUGACGCUGAGGCACGAAGGUGCGGGGAUCAAACAGGAUUAGAAACCCGAGUAGUCC